ensembl:lncRNA
GUGCCCGAGGCCGUUCCCGAGGCGGUGUUCGAGGCCGUUCCCGAGGCGGUGCCCGAUGCCGCGACCGAUGCCGUGAAAUGGCGGGUUCCUCCCUGGCCGUCGGCACAACCGGAACUGACGGAUCCUCCGUGGCCACCUGAACUGCCUGGUCCCUCGUGGUCCCCUGAACUUUCGGGUCCACCCUGGCCCCCUGAACUGACUGAUCCACCUUGGCUGCCAGUGGAGCCAUCGCUGCCUGUCCCUGUUCCCCUACACGGGCCUGGCCCUCCAUCCCUCCCCCUGUUCUACCUCCACCAGUCCACCUCCCUCCUGGUCUUUUUGGUUUGUUUUUUGUGUCUGAGGAGCAUCUGGAAGCUGCUCCUUAGAGGGGGGGUAAUGUCACAGUGUCUGGUCUGUGUAUCCCUGGGUGUCCACUAGAGGUCUCACUUCCCCUUAUCGUCACCCCACUUCAGAACUACAUUUCCCACAAGUCUUGUUGGUACUCAUCACUGUUCAUUUUAUUCAGCUGUUCCCACUUACAUUGUUUGCACCUGUCUAUAUAUACCUGGUUUGUUUCUGUCUCUGUUACGGAGUCCUUGUUUUCCGUCACCCGGUUUUUUCGCGGUCCCUUGUGUUUUCUUGUUUCUGGACUGAUUUUGUGUUAUGACCUCUUGCCUGUUUUGGAUUAUGAUUUUUGGAUUACCCUAUUAAAACUGCAAUUGGAUCUACCUGUUUGUGUGCGUGUCGUGACACAGAUCAGAUAUGAUUUUUUGGUAUGCUUGUACUGUCAUGUGCUGUCCCAUUUAUGCGCAUUCAUUUUGAUAGACCGAGCCCUGCCUCCGCGCAGUGAGAUCAACAUGGAAUUCAGGAAUCACAACCUAUUUUCCAAAGCACUUUUGUGAUGCUGCAAGUGGGAGUGGAUUUCUUGCUUAGCUGGAAACUGCAGAGAACCACGUCUUGUCGUCCUGAAAAAAAGAAAGAGACUACUUUCUCCAAGGAGGUCCAAACGGCAUUGGCACAGACUUUGUUCAGAGAUCAGUAACAAACAUUCAGCCAGGGCCGUCCUUAGAGGGGUGCAACUGGUGCGGUCGCACCGGGCCCCGCACUUGAGGCGUAAACGGACUGAAUGAGCCCCCCCCUCCGCCAACCCGGGAACGCUCCCUACUUCACACCGGGCCCCGAAUCAGAUAAGUACGGCCCUGCAUUCGUGGUUGAUGGUAAUGAAUGAGAUGCUGUGGUUUAAGCAGAUAAAUGUAAGCACUAUCCACCUUUUUCCUCAACGUGGAAGUGAGUCUAUGGGUGAGACUUCCGUUUCAUUAGCUGCUAUAGGUAAAUAACGAGGAGAAUAACAACAUGCAGUAAACGGUUAAACUGUUUGCAGAACAAACAAGUGUGUUAUUAAUCAU